rnacentral:rRNA from 1 species
AUUGAACGCUGGCGGCAGGCCUAACACAUGCAAGUAGAACGAGUGGCGGACGGGUGAGUAAGGUCUGGGAAACUGCCUGAUGGAGGGGGAUAACGACUGGAAACGGUAGCGAAUACCGAAUACCAUCAUAUGAGCCCAGAUGGGUUUAGCUAGUUGGUGGGGUAACGGCUCACCAAGGCGACGAUCCCUAGCUGGUCUGAGAGGAUGACCAGCCACACUGGAACUGGGCCACGGUCCAGACUCCUACGGUAGGCAGCAGUGGGGAAUAUUGCACAAUGGGCGAACGCCUGAUGCAGCCAUGCCGCGUGUAUGAGGAAGGCCUUCGGGUUGUAAAGUACGUUCAGCGGGGAGGCGUUACCCGCCGAAGAAGCUCCGGCUAACUCCGUGCCAGCAGCCGCGGUAAUUC